rnacentral:rRNA from 1 species
CACACUGGACUGAGACACGGUCCAGACUCCUACGGGAGGCAGCAGUGGGGAAUAUUGCACAAUGGGGGAAACCCUGAUGCAGCCAUGCCGCGUGUAUGAAGAAGGCCUUCGGGUUGUAAAGUACUUUCAGCAGUGAGGAAGGUGGUAGUGUUAAUAGCACCAUCAUUUGACGUUAGCUGCAGAAGAAGCACCGGCUAACUCCGUGCCAGCAGCCGCGGUAAUACGGAGGGUGCGAGCGUUAAUCGGAAUUACUGGGCGUAAAGCGCAUGCAGGCGGUCUGUUAAGCAAGAUGUGAAAGCCCGGGGCUCAACCUCGGAACAGCAUUUUGAACUGGCAGACUAGAGUCUUGUAGAGGGGGGUAGAAUUUCAGGUGUAGCGGUGAAAUGCGUAGAGAUCUGAAGGAAUACCGGUGGCGAAGGCGGCCCCCUGGACAAAGACUGACGCUCAGAUGCGAAAGCGUGGGGAGCAAACAGGAUUAGAUACCCUGGUAGUCCACGCCGUAAACGAUGUCUACUUGGAGGUUGGUGUCUUGAACACUGGCUUUCGGAGCUAACGCGUUAAGUAGACCGCCUGGGGAGUACGGUCGCAAGAUUAAAACUCAAAUGAAUUGACGGGGGCCCGCACAAGCGGUGGAGCAUGUGGUUUAAUUCGAUGCAACGCGAAGAACCUUACCUACUCUUGACAUCCAGAGAAUUCGCUAGAGAUAGCUUAGUGCCUUCGGGAGCUCUGAGACAGGUGCUGCAUGGCUGUCGUCAGCUC